UACACCGGUAGGAAGGCAGAAAGGAAGGCAAGAGCAGAAGUCUGGAGGAAGGAUGCUGAAGAGGCCAGUAUGCAGCUGCAGUAUGGUGCAUGCCAUAUUUGCAAAACAGAGCUUGGCGCGUCUGCAUAACUCAUUGCUGUGGAAAGAGUCAUCAGGAUGAUGAAUUGAAACACAGCCAUCUCCAUUAUGCACCAGAAAGGUCCCUGCCCUGGGAGUACCCUGAUGCGGGACCCCUGCUGCCAGCUGCUGCCUGCAGGAGAUGGCCGAGGUCCAUCUGUAAGCCUCAUGUGGCCGCCCCAAGCACAGCGUGGUCUGCGUGCUGGCCACCUCUCACCACGCACCAUGGACAUCCCCCCUCCGUGCUGGAUACAGCCCACAGGAGCGGGGAUGAAGGCUGGGCCGACUGGGCACCACCGGGACACGGUUACACUCUAAUUGAUCUUGUCUGCCGUCAGAACCACACCGUAUGGGAUGCCUGGUGCAGUUAGACAAAGACUAGGACAUAAAUAUGCCCAAGAGAAACUAUCAGAAUUAUUAAUGGUGUUUUUCUAACCUUUUAAAUGAGGUGAUACUCACUUUCAACAGCACUGCCAGUGUUGGAAUCUUUGAUUUUAUUUUUUUUUCCGAAGAGGUUUAAUUGAGCUAGGUAUAAAUAGCAUAUCAGUAAACAAGACCUUUUGGCUGUGUGAAUCAUGUCUAAAAUAUUUGUAAGCCCUCCACAGCCUCUCUGAUGGUGAAGAAUGUGCUCAUUAGACCGGUCCAGAUGCAUUCUGCAAUCCAUCGAGAACCUAACUUCUCCAGGAGAUAAAUCAUUGCAGUAUUAAU
rnacentral:lncRNA from 1 species